UACGUAGGGGGCAAGCGUUGUCCGGAUUUAUUGGGCGUAAAGAGCGUGUCGGCGGCCUGACAAGUCUGCUGUGAAAACUCGAGGCUCAACCUCGAGAUGUCGGCGGAAACUGUCUGGCUAGAGUCCGGAAGAGGAGAGUGGAAUUCCUGGUGUAGCGGUGAAAUGCGCAGAUAUCAGGAAGAACACCUAUGGCGAAGGCAGCUCUCUGGGACGGUACUGACGCUGAGACGCGAAAGCGUGGGGAGCGAACAGG
rnacentral:rRNA from 1 species